rnacentral:lncRNA from 1 species
UAAUAUAUAUAUUUACAGCGACAUGUAUCAUAUAUAUGUGUUUUCGGUUAAUGUAAUUAUAGGCAUAUUCUCAUGUCAAUCAUAUUUACAUAGAUAUAUAAACGCGUUUACAUAAAAAUUUUAUAUUUUCAAUGCUUCAAUUAUAGGAAUAUGCCAAUUAUACGAACAAGCUAUCAAAGAAAAUGACCCGUCAGUACAAAGAAUAACGUAUAAUAUGAAUGAUUUGUUUUUAUACAUUGAUAACAUGCAAAAAAUGACUAUUAUGUUGUUUCACCCAGAUACAUGGACGUACAAGCCUCAUGAUAAAAAGUGGAUAAAACAUAAACUUGUAGAACAUAUUAAAGAUCAAAUAGGACACUAAUGUAAAUUAAAGAGAAGAUAUUGUUAUUUUUGAAUUAAUAUAUAAAUAAAUAAACAAAUAAAUGAAUGAAUAAACAAAUAAAUAUAUAUAUAUAUAUAUAUAUAUAUAUAUAUAUAUAUAUAUAUAUAUAUAUAUGUAUAUAUUCAUAUGUGUAUGUAAUAAUUUAUAUUUAUUUAUUUGCUUAUCACAUUUCCAUCUUCUUUCUUGGGUGUUUUUAACUUAUCCUAUAAACAAGUAUUUUGUUUUUAACAUUACAUAAAAUAUCAAUGUUUUUUUUUUAUUUUAUCAAGCACAAUU